ensembl:lncRNA
GUUUGUGAUAAGUUUGUGUUCAUACAGUGUGUGUGUGUGUGUGUGUGUGCAUGUGUGCAGUAUGUGAUAAGUGUGUGUUUCUUCAGUGUGUGUGUGUGUGUGAUAAGUGUGUGUUUCUCCAAGACAGUAGAAUGGCCAGCAGGCUCUUUCUGUCAAACCUACAGUGUGUGUGUGUGUGUGUGUGUGUGUGUGUGUGUAGGCGAGCUAGUGCGUGUGUGUGUGUGUGUGUGUGUGUGUAGGCGAGCUAGUGCGUGUGUGUGUGUGUGUGUGUGUAGGCGAGCUAGUGCGUGUGUGUGUGUGUGUAGGCGAGCUAGUGCGUGUGUGUGUGUGUGUGUGUGUGAGCUAGUGGCCCUAGCACCAUAGAUAGCCGUAGUCUAAUAGAUACCGUGUGUGUGUGCGUGUGUGUGUGUGUGUGU